UCCGUAGGUGGAUAAUUAAGUCAGAGGUGAAAUCCUGCAGCUCAACUGUAGAAUUGCCUUUGAUACUGGUUAUCUUGAGUUAUUAUGAAGUAGUUAGAAUAUGUAGUGUAGCGGUGAAAUGCAUAGAUAUUACAUAGAAUACCAAUUGCGAAGGCAGAUUACUAAUAAUAUACUGACACUGAUGGACGAAAGCGUGGGUAGCGAACAGGAUUAGAUACCCUGUUAGUCC
rnacentral:rRNA from 1 species